rnacentral:misc_RNA from 1 species
UUUCCGUAGGUGAACCUGCGGAAGGAUCAUCAUUGUAUAACCGAGGUGCGAGGGCUGACGCUGACCCGAAAGGUCGUGCACGCCCGAGUGCCCUCACAAACAUCCAUCUCACCCCCAUGUGCAGCACCGCGUGGGCCGCCAUAGGGAAUGUUAGGAGGGGAGCUUACGUUUGCACAAAAACUAUGUAAGCAGCGAAAAAUGCAUUUAUUGUUUUUGUGAUUAUGGAAUCAAUACAAAUUUCAACAACGGGUAUGUUGGCACUCGCAACGACGAAGAACG